rnacentral:rRNA from 1 species
UGGGGAAUCUUCCGCAAUGGACGAAAGUCUGACGGAGCAACGCCGCGUGAGUGAUGACGGCCUUCGGGUUGUAAAGCUCUGUUAAUCGGGACGAAUGGUUCUUGUGCGAAUAGUGCGAGGAUUUGACGGUACCGGAAUAGAAAGCCACGGCUAACUACGUGCCAGCAGCCGCGGUAAUACGUAGGUGGCAAGCGUUGUCCGGAAUUAUUGGGCGUAAAGCGCGCGCAGGCGGAUUGGUCAGUCUGUCUUAAAAGUUCGGGGGUUAACCCCGUGAUGGGAUGGAAACUGCCAAUCUAGAGUAUCGGAGAGGAAAGUGGAAUUCCUAGUGUAGCGGAGAAAUGCGUAGAUAUUAGGAAGAAAACCAGUGGCGAAGGCGACUUUCUGGACGAAAACUGACGCUGAGGCGCGAAAGCCAGGGGAGCGAACGGG